ensembl:lncRNA
AGAUCCCUCCAUACUGGAGGCCUUCUAAGGAAGUUCAAUGUUUUUGUUUGUCCAAGCCUUCAUCUCCUCAGCCGUGCAAGAGAUUUCUCCAAGACUCAUUAGGACACAGUUUGUUGUGUUUACUAAAAGCCAUGAUGCUCUAAGUGAAAAGGAAAACGGCAAAUUGAAUCCAGAAGUCACCCAAUUAUUUAAAUUAGCGUAAACCUAACAGGAUUUUUUUUUCAAAAUUGGAAGGACCUAGCAAGACCAGUCAACUUGACAGGGGAAAGUAAAAGUCAUGAGGAUUAGAUGUGCAAUGGAAGUUAAAAAAUUGAAAAAAAGAAAGAAAGAAAA